GACGAACGCUGGCGGCGGGCUUAACACAUGCAAGUCGAACGGAAAGGCCGUGCUUUUGUGGGCUGCCCGAGUGGGGAACGGGGGAGGAACACGUGAGUAACCUGCCCUAGACUUUGGGAUAACUUCAGGAAACUGGGGCUAAUACCGGAUAGGAGCUCCUGCUCCAAUGUGUGGGUUGGAAAGUUUGGGCGGGCGGGGAUGGAUUCGCGGCUUAUCGGCUAGUUGGUGGGGUAGUGGGUUACCAAGUCAUUGACGGGUCGCUGGCCUGGGAGGGUGAACGGCGACCUUGCGACUACGGUACGGACCAGACUGGUACGGGAGGCAACGGUGGGAAGCCUUGCACAAUGGGCGGGAGUGUGUGGCAGAAGCGCUGGGUGCGUGAAGACCGCUUUUGGGUUGUGAACAGCUUUCGCCUGUGACGAAGCGUGAGUGACGGUACCGGAUAAAGAAGCACCGGCUAACUACGUG
rnacentral:rRNA from 1 species